UUUUCCUACGGGGCGCAGCAGUGGGGAAUAUUGCACAAUGGGGGGAACCCUGAUGCAGCGACGCCGCGUGAAGGAUGAAGUAUUUCGGUACGUAAACUUCUAUCAGCAGGGAAGAAAAUGACGGUACCUGACUAAGAAGCCCCGGCUAACUACGCGCCAGCAGCCGCGGUAAUACGUAGGGGGCAAGCGUUAUCCGGAUUUACUGGGUGUAAAGGGAGCGUAGACGGGCCAGCACGUCUGAUGUGAAAACCCGGGGCCCAACCCCGGGAGUGCAUUGGAAACUGUGUGCCUGGUGU
rnacentral:rRNA from 1 species